rnacentral:rRNA from 1 species
CCUACGGGAGGCAGCAGUGGGGAAUAUUGGACAAUGGGCGAAAGCCUGAUCCAGCAAUGCCGCGUGAGUGAUGAAGGCCUUCGGGUCGUAAAGCUCUUUUACCAGGGAUGAUAAUGACAGUACCUGGAGAAUAAGCUCCGGCUAACUCCGUGCCAGCAGCCGCGGUAAUACGGAGGGAGCUAGCGUUGUUCGGAAUUACUGGGCGUAAAGAGUACGUAGGCGGUUAUUCAAGUCAGAGGUGAAAGCCCGGGGCUCAACCCCGGAACUGCCUUUGAAACUAGAUAACUAGAGUCUUGGAGAGGUUAGUGGAAUUCCGAGUGUAGAGGUGAAAUUCGUAGAUAUUCGGAAGAACACCAGUGGCGAAGGCGACUAACUGGACAAGUACUGACGCUGAGGUACGAAAGCGUGGGGAGCAAACAGGAUUAGAUACCCUGGUAGUCCACGCCGUAAACGAUGAUAACUAGUUGUUCGGUCACUUGGUGACUGAGUGACGCAGCUAACGCAUUAAGUUAUCCGCCUGGGGAUACGGUCGCAAGAUUAAAACUUAAAGAUAGUAGACGUNAGAGUGCGACGAGCACAGGAGGUAG